GGUCCGAUAUGUUCUUGAAACCCAACUACCAAACAUACAUAGCUCACACUCCACCCUGGCUGGAAAAACAUUGGGCUAGAUUAGAGAUAUCGUGCCCUGUAGCUCCACCUCCUGGAAUCAAACUUCUGGCUCUCGCACUUCUCACAUGGCCCAGGCAGCGCUUCAGGAACCGAGUUAGAAGAGACAGGACUACUAACUGAAAGCUAAAUGGAGCUCAGAAUCUGAGGUCGCAAAUCUGCGAAAUCUGCUGGACAUUCGACUCUGGUGUAGGGACGCGAAUUUCAUCAUUUCUCUGGCAUAUAUAUAUGUAUAUAGAUAUUGG
ensembl:ncRNA lncRNA:CR45010 long non-coding RNA:CR45010